CCACUGCCACUGCCACUGCCACUGCCACUGCCACCCCCACCACCAUUAUUUGCUCGCGGACAGUCCCUUGCAAAAUGCCCUGAAUUCCCACACUUAAAACAACCAUUUUUAUUAUCACUGCCUCCUCGAUUAUUACAAUCCCUAGCGAUAUGACCAGCGCUCCCACAGUUAAAGCAACCUGCACCACCGGCCCCAGCCCCACCACCACCACUAUAACCGCUGCCAUUAUUCCUCCUAUUCCAAGAACCGCCAAAUCCGCCGCGUUUGGCAGAACCAUCCCCUCUCUUGGCACUCGCUUGAAUGGGGCCACCACCAGGGGUAGUGACAUUAAUAGCUUGGUAUUUAUCAGCAGAGAGAGAAACAGUGAAUUCAACUAUAUCGUCCUCAGCAAGAGAGCGGUAACCGCCAUCGGAUUUGAUAGCAGUGUGAUGGACGAAGAGAUCUUCACCGCCAUCAUCAGGCUUGAUGAAGCCGAAACCUUUCCUAUCACUGAACCUGACGACCCUACCGCUGGAUCUCACCGCCGUCUGCUCCUCGGCCAUUGAUUGAGC
rnacentral:misc_RNA from 1 species